rnacentral:rRNA from 1 species
UACAGAGGGGGCAAGCGUUAUUCGGAAUUACUGGGCGUAAAGGGCUCGUAGGCGGCCAACUAAGUCAUACGUGAAAUCCCUCAGCUUAACUGGGGAACUGCGUGUGAUACUGGAUGGCUUGGAUUUGGGAGAGGGAUGCGGAAUUCCAGGUGUAGCGGUGAAAUGCGUAGAUAUCUGGAGGAACACCGGUGGCGAAGGCGGCAUCCUGGGCCAUUACUGACGCUGAGGAGCGAAAGCGUGGGGAGCGAACAGG